UCGCCUUGUGCCUCGCUCGGUGCUUCGUCUCUAAGAAGCAUCUUGAGCUGGAUACCGAAUGCAUUAGCAUCUCAGUAAGGGGCCAUAAGAAACAGGGCUCUAUUUGAGUGCGGUGACACCAAGGGUAACCGGAUGGUGGCACUGUAAUUAUCAGUCCUGACAUUG
rnacentral:snoRNA from 1 species